UAGGCGGCGCUAGGCGGUCUAGGCGGGUCUAGGCGGCGCUAGGCGGAUCUGGGUGCCAGGGUGGGUCUGGUUCUGUUCUUUUGUUCUUUAUGCCCAUUAUCAAGCAUACGAGCAUAUCUAAAGGAGCCUAUUACUCCCAGGAUGUCCAGAUAGUUUCAAGUACGUCGACCUCUAGUAAUGUAUUCUUGUUGGAUGAAGGGGCAGUUUAUUGAAAGGAGUCAAGGAAGCAACAGUUGCAGUUUUAUUCUAAAGAAAUAAUAAAAGAUCUGUAGGUACCAAGCAUUUUCUUGAUGGUUAAAGAAAAGAUCCAGGAGAGGCAUCUCAAGAUAGAUUACAAAGAUACAAAGUCUAUGGUUACAUAUCCACUUAAUAAAGCUGGGCCAGUAGAUGUUUCAAGAGCCAUGUUGAAAGGAUGAGGAUCUUGGCAAGCAUUCACUCAACAGACUAGUGGGAGAAGCAAUUCAUACUUGACUUCGUCCAGGUUUUCUUAUCUCUGUGCUUAAGAUUGAAUUUGGUUUAAAUGUACAUCAAGUAUUUCAGUUUGUUUGAUAAAUAUUAUUGAUAAUCAUUUAGUAUGGUUAGUUUAUUAAGGAACCAUGAUUAUCAAAACUCAAGAAAUGACUAGAAAUAGUCUUAAGAGGACCUCUGGAUGUUUCAUUAUAAUUUCAAGUAUAUUUUACACAAUUCAGAUUUAUAUGAAACUUGAUUAGUUCAUAUCUUGAUGGCGUUCCAUGUAGAUGAAAGAUUUGUGUACAUUAUCUUGGGGAAUGUUUUUAAGUUUAAAUGAACAUUACUCCCUCUGGUCUUGCAUAAAUACUUUCAUCCGACAGGAAUUUGAUUAUAGGACUUUGUUGUUGUGAACUAAUGCCACAAAUAUUUAUCAGAAAUGGAAUGCUGCCACUCUUUAUGGGCCAUGUUAA